AUACGUAGGUGACAAGCGUUAUCCGGAUUUACUGGGCGUAAAGGGCGUGUAGGCGGUCUUGCAAGUCAGAAGUGAAAUUCCUGAGCUCAACUCGGGCGCUGCUUCUGAAACUGCAGGACUUGAGUGCUGGAGGGGAUAGCGGAAUUCCUAGUGGAGCGGUAAAAUGCGCAGAUAUUAGGAAGAACACCGGUGGCGAGGGCGGCUAUCUGGACAGUAACUGACGCUGAGGCGCGAAAGCGUGGGGAGCAAACAGGAUUAGAUACCCCGGUAGUCCACGCCGUAAACGAUGAAUACUAGGUGUAGGGGGUAUCGACUCCCUCUGUGCCGCAGUUAACACAAUAAGUAUUCCGCCUGGGGAGUACGGCCGCAAGGUUGAAACUCAAAUGAAUUGACGGGG
rnacentral:rRNA from 1 species